GUGGCGUGGCAUGGAGGCGAUCAGCCUGUGGCACUGCUGAGGUGUAAUGGAAGCCCAGGUUGCUUUGAUAGCAGCCUUCAGGUCAUCUGCAUUGUUAGAUCUGGUGUCUCUCAUCUUCCUCUUGACACUGUCUCAGAAAACACUUCGGGUACAAUUUUUUUAGAUGUACCUGUAUAUUCCAAAGUGGCCUGAUAAAAACGGUAUCUCUUUAAGCUGUCUGGUAUAUUUGGUUGAGACUCGUUUGUAGCCGACGUACAGACAGCGUCCUUCCUUCUUCUUUGGCUAUGGUGCACAGCCCCCUAGUGGACUAAAGCGGAACAGCCAGGGAACCACUGCUGACAACCCCUGAUGCAAAAGGAGCACAAUAAUAACCCCAAGGAGAAAAAAAGGAAAGGAAGCUGCUUUCUUUCAUAAUUCUGAGAGGAGACCCGAAAUGCCCAUCCAGAUGACGGAGAACCACGGGCAGUCAGCUAAUCAUCUGUCACUUGCAGAGGACUGGAGUUGGGUGGAAGAUGGAAAUGGAAUGUGGGGGAGGAGGGGGCGGCCGAUUUGUGAAAGGUAGCUGCUGAGAUGUCAGUUUCCUACGCGGCCACUCCAAGUCAAAAGUCGCCUGAAUGCCUGUGCAGGUGCAGCGCCGGAUCGCCGCACAAAAGGCGGCGCCUCCGUAAACAUCGUGGCACAAAAAGUUAAAUACCCCCGAGUCAGCGAAAGCAGCAGGAGGGGAGGCAAAAAAAAUUACAUAAAACGAAUCCCAGUCUAAAGGCACCGGUGACAACAGGCAGUCAUUAAGUGUGGGCUCUUCACUCGCAUCCAGGAGCAUUUGCGGAAGCAAAAACGGCAAUCAGCAAAACUCAGAUGCAGAGGCCGCUCUCCGGCGCUAGCAUGGACUUCAUCUCUCUCCCCCUGCCUCUUCGCCUGUAAAUAGCACAGUCAUUAUGAGGAUUUUGGUUAAUCUGUGUAGUUUCUCGGCCCAUCUCCUAUGGGGCUGGUCAUCUCGAAGUGCACGUGCAGUGAGCACGCAAUCUGGUUACAACAAGGUAUUAUAAUUAAAACUAUUAUUUACACUUGGCUUUAAAAUGCCUCUUGGAUGAUCAGAUUGAAAGUGGACAGUGCUAAGUACAAGUGUAAAUGACUACGAAGACACAUUGCGAUCUGAUGACUCAAACCAUUUGCCAAUGUGGUCUAUGACACAUUUGGCCACAUAUCUUCUGUGUAUAAUGCGUCCAGGUGUGUCCCCGACAAGGAUGUCACAAUAACUGUGCAGCACCAUUCGACAUUCUGGUGGAAGUGACAUUAGGCUCAACUGCAUGGACACUUUGGAGAUGCACGACAGACACAGAUGUAAGUGGCGAUGUGUCUUGGCUGUCCACUUGUGAUCUUCUUGCCGUAGAUGUUUUUAAAACUAGGUAUAAACAGGGCCUAUGACUGCAGUUAAAGGACUGAUAUGUUCAUUAAA